UACGUAGGGAGCGAGCGUUAUCCGGAUUUAUUGGGUGUAAAGGGUGCGUAGGCGGCCUGACAGGUCUAUGGUUUAAGUCCGAAGCUUAACUUCGGUUCGCCAUAGAAACCGUCGGGCUUGAGUAUGGUAGAGGCAAGUGGAAUUUCUAGUGUAGCGGUAAAAUGCGUAGAUAUUAGAAGGAACACCAGUGGCGAAGGCGGCUUGCUGGGCCAUUACUGACGCUGAGGCACGAAAGCGUGGGGAGCAAAUAGG
rnacentral:rRNA from 1 species